UACGUAGGGCGCAAGCGUUGUCCGGAAUUAUUGGGCGUAAAGAGCUCGUAGGCGGUCUGUUACGUCCGCUGUGAAAACCCAGGGCUUAACCCUGGGCUGGCAGUGGAUACGGGCAGACUAGAGGUAGGUAGGGGAGAAUGGAAUUCCCGGUGUAGCGGUGAAAUGCGCAGAUAUCGGGAGGAACACCGGUGGCGAAGGCGGUUCUCUGGGCCUUACCUGACGCUGAGGAGCGAAAGCGUGGGGAGCAAACAGG
rnacentral:rRNA from 1 species